UACGUAGGGUGCAAGCGUUGUCCGGAAUUAUUGGGUGUAAAGAGCUCGUAGGCGGUUUGUCGCGUCGGCUGUGAAAAGCCCGGAGCUCAACUCCGGGUCUGCAGUCGAUACGGGCAGACUUGAGUGUUGCAGGGGAGACUGGAAUUCCUGGUGUAGCGGUGAAAUGCGCAGAUAUCAGGAGGAACACCGGUGGCGAAGGCGGGUCUCUGGGCCGAUACUGACACUGAGGAGCGAAAGCGUGGGGAGCGAACAGG
rnacentral:rRNA from 1 species